rnacentral:tRNA from 1 species
GGGGGUAUAGCUCAGGGGUAGAGCAUUUGGUGGCAAAUCAAGAGGUCCUUGGUCCAACUACAAAUGACCCCU